AAAAACUAGCCUGAUUUUCAAUCAGGCCGGCGCCAAAAAUACUCUUGUUAACCCAACCACCGUGCACAAUCGUCGUCCUCCAACUAAUUGAUCGACGAGAGACAAUCGAAAUGAGUGGAGCUCGAUUGUGCUCCUUACUGGCUGAAUUGGGAUACGAAGGUGCAGAGACAUUGGAUCCUGACAGCUUCGAGUGGCCCUUCCAAUACGACGACGCACGCCCCG
rnacentral:misc_RNA from 1 species